UAUUGGACAAUGGGCGCAAGCCUGAUCCAGCAAUGCCGCGUGUGUGAAGAAGGCCUGCGGGUUGUAAAGCACUUUCGGUCGGGAAGAACGUGCUUGAGGCUAAUACCCUUGAGCGGUGACGGUACCGACAGAAGAAGCACCGGCUAACUCCGUGCCAGCAGCCGCGGUAAUACGGAGGGUGCAAGCGUUAAUCGGAAUUACUGGGCGUAAAGCGUGCGUAGGCGGCUAUGCAAGACAGAUGUGAAAUCCCCGGGCUUAACCUGGGAACUGCAUUUGUGACUGCAUGGCUAGAGUGUGUCAGAGGGAGGUGGAAUUCCGCGUGUAGCAGUGAAAUGCGUAGAGAUGCGGAGGAACACCGAUGGCGAAGGCAGCCUCCUGGGAUAACACUGACGCUCAGGCACGAAAGCGUGGGGAGCAAACA
rnacentral:rRNA from 1 species